GUGUCACGUAAAGUCUCUAAGUUCAUUUGUCACUUCAGUCUAUGCUCGAGUUAUCAGUCGAGUCGUCAUGCAAAGUGCUAACUAUUGAGUCAAAGUAAUCGCUAAGGAAUCCAAUGUCUUUGCCUGCUUAAUCAAAAGAUGGAUCUUCUAGGUUCCUGUGUUGGUUUUCUAGUUUUCCUUCAAGUAUUCAUGGCUGUUAUUCAAGGAGGGGAAAUAAACAUUACAAAUACAAGUUGUAUCAGUGCNCAUCCACCUGUCAAUGACAGUUUGUUGAAACGAGAUUGUCGACCUUACAUGUUUUCUAAUGGAUACUGUAAGCACAUUAUUGGAAAUCAUGAGGAAUUGUAUGGCAGUGAAAAUUACCAGAUAAAAAGGGAAAAAUCCUAUGAAAGGAUAUUCAUUGGAAAGCAAAAGAUAGAGAAAUAUCGAAAGGUAGAAGUGCGGGAUUCCUGCUUGAAAGUAUAUCUCGAAGAAACUUGUCAAGGAAAAUUUCCAAAAUGUGACAAAACUACUGAAAAGCCCAUGCCAAGGCCCGUUUGCAAAGAAACAUGUGAUGACUUAAUNAAAUUGUGCGACAAGGAGUUUAUAAUGAUAAAAAAUUACAAUCAUAUCUUUCGAAACAUUUCUUUAUCGAAUACAUAUCCACUGUAUUGGGAGUUGCCAGACUGUAAACCUCUGAAGUUAAGAAACGGCGGAGAUGCUCCAGAAUGUUUCUUUAGCAGACGACUUAANACAGAAACAGACAAACUGGAGACCACAGAUUGUUACUAUGGCAACGGCCUGGGUUACCGUGGUAACGUGAGCGUAACAAGGUCAGGUCACGUGUGCCAAUCCUGGUCAUCUCAAUGUCCUCAUCGUCACGAUCAUCCUUUGUCUGAGUAUCCAGAGCUGGUCAAUGCGUCCAACUGGUGUCGUAACCCUGGAGGUCAAGGACCCCAUGGACCUUGGUGCUACACCACUAAUAGUAGUAUAAGAUGGGAGUACUGUGAUGUAGAGAAAUGCCCUCCUCCAGCUCCUACUCUAGCGCCUGUUAUCACACAAGCUUAUUCNUCUGGCCCAAGUAAAAUCUUAAUAAAGUGGAAGCCAGUCUCUUUGCCAUUUAUUCACGGUCAAGACCGAGGAUUUAAAGUCAGAAUCAGUAGAUUCAAUAAAGGGCUGCUGAUUGCUGAAAAUCGUACAAAAAUAACGGAAUUUACUUUCGGAAAUCUGCAAGCACUGACAAACUAUAGUGUAUCAGUAUCUGCCUCGAAUGAGCAUGGCGAUGGUCUAGCAAGUCAUGUCUUUNUCAAGACAUUGCCAAAAGACUACUUGGCAGUCAAGUACUCGUUGAAGCUUUAUAAACCAGCAAAAAUGAACAACACUGAAAUGAAGAAGAAAGUGCACUAUACUGUUAAUAAAAAGAUCUUACAACUACUUCAAAACAAAAAUGCGACAAGUGGUUAUAAAAUCCAUCAUGAUCAAAUGAAAGUGAUAUUGAGUAAUGGCAGCAAACACAUGGAGUUUAUCAUCACCGCUGAGCUAAAGGCAUGGCCAUCUUGGCCUGCUAUUCAAGACAUCACUGGGCGUAUUCAGAAAGGGCUUGAAAACAAAAGGAAAGUCGUUAAUGAGUUUGAACCAAGCUCACUUCUUGUCCAAGCUUCUCCUCCUCCGCCUGCAAAUUUGAGUAUAGAUGACGUGACAAAUACAUCAGCGACACUUGAAUGGUCAGCACCCUUGUACCAUGCCCCGUAUAAAAUCACGAAGUUCAUUGUACAAUACAAAAAAGAAGGCACAGAAUUGGAUUACUACGAUGGUGUUACUGUAAGAUCAGCGAAGACUAAAGUCACUGUUAAUAGUUUAAAUGCGGGUAUAAAAUACCUGAUGCGGGUGGUGUCUGUUAAUGCUUAUGGAUUCCAGGCAAGUGAGCCACUGGAAGUGGAGACGCAGCAAAAACCAGAGCCGCGGACAUCAAUCAUGCCUAUAGUCCUACCAUUUGUUGGUGUGUCUGUCGUUGUUGCAAUAACUGUAGCAGUAUUAGUAAGAUGGUGGUAUAAGAAACGAAAAGAAACUCAAGAAAUACAAGACAAGCUUCAAAUGUUAAAAGAAAACUCAAAAGAACUANCAGUCAACUGGUUUGAUGUUCUAAAAAUCAAAAUUACUAAGCAAUGGUGGGAGAUAUCACGUGAUGAAGUGGUACUUGAUGAAGAGCUUGGGUCGGGAGCAUUUGGUGUCGUGAUGAAAGGAUACCUGACGAGAAGAGAGGAAGGGGUAAAUGAAAAUCGUAUGGUUUGUGCUGUCAAGAUGUUGAAAGAUAAUCCAACAGAACGGGUAUUGCGUGACCUGUGUAACGAAAUCAACAUCAUGUCAUCAGUUGGCGAUCAUCCAAACAUCAUUAGCUUGAUUGGGGCGUGUACGAUUGAUGGUCCUCCAUGGCUGGUCGUAAAGUUUGCACCAAAUGGUUGUCUUCUUGAAUACUUAAAGGACAAGCGUCCAGCACCUGAAUACGAGAACUUACGUGACAUUCCUAAAUGCCAUCUGGCGCUGAAACCAUUAUCUGAAAGAGAAAGAAUGAAGUUUGCAUAUGAGAUUGCACAGGGGAUGGCACAUCUGGAGCAACAUAGAUACGUUCACAGGGAUCUGUCAGCUCGUAACGUUUUACUUGGAAAGAACAUGGUUGCAAUGGUUUCUGACUUUGGGUUCUCUCGUGACAUAUACGAAACUGGAGUUUACGAAAAAACUUCAGGGGUAGGUCUAUAAUGCAAAUGCUGAGAUGUAUAUUCAAAAAAUAAAAAAGGGAUCAAAAGGGUCUUCUUCCUAUUCGGUGGAUGGCCCUGGAAUCUCUACAAAAUCAUGCCUACACCAGUAAAUCUGACGUGUGGUCGUAUGGAGUCGUCUUGUGGGAGGUCGAGAGCGGUG
rnacentral:misc_RNA from 1 species